GUUUAUGGUAUUAUUUAUAGGUAGGUAUAGCACUGAAUAUCUAGUUUUUUAACGAAAAGAGAGUAUGAAAGUAUUUGUCUUAGAUAUUUAAUCUCAGAAUGAUUUAUAAAUAUGAUAAAUAGUCGGACUCUACGCGAUAAGGUGGAGAGUCAAGAGGGAAACAGCCCAGAAUAGUAAUUAAAGCUCUAAAAUUAUUGCUAAGUGAAAUAAAAG
rnacentral:rRNA from 1 species